rnacentral:RNase_P_RNA from 1 species
AGAGCAGGACGGCGAUUACUCUUGGUUUUGUAAAAAACCAGGAGAGGAAAGUCCGGGCACCAAAGAGCACCGUAGUGGGUAACACCCAUCGUCCCGCUAUUAAAGCAGGAUAGGACUAGUGCAACAGAAAGUAUGUACGCUCUUUUCCUUUGGUAAAGAGGCUGUAGUGAAAUCCGGUAAACUCUACGGGGUGCAAGGCCAAAUAGUUUUUGCGUGGUGAAUACUCGCCCCAGGCUUGUCUCGGCUGAAGUUGAGUUGAUGCUCAAGCGCAAAACGGGUAGGCUGCCUUGAGUUCUUUUGCAAAAAAGGACCCAGAUUAAUGAUCGCCCCCUUCGAGGGACAGAACCCGGCUUAAGUCCUGCUUUUUUU